GACAGAGGGUGCAAACGCUGUUCGGAAUUACUGGGCGUAAAGCGAGUGUAGGCGGUCCCGUAAGUCGGGUGUGAAAGCCCUGGGCUCAACCCAGGAAGUGCACUCGAAACUGCGAGGCUAGAGUACUGGAGAGGUUGGUGGAAUUCUCGGUGUAGAGGUGAAAUUCGUAGAUAUCGAGAGGAACACCGGUGGCGAAGGCGGCCAACUGGACAGAUACUGACGCUGAGACUCGAAAGCGUGGGGGAGCAAACAGG
rnacentral:rRNA from 1 species